rnacentral:rRNA from 1 species
UACGGGGGGGCAAGCGUUGUUCGGAAUUACUGGGCGUAAAGGGCUCGUAGGCGGCCAACUAAGUCGGAUGUGAAAUCCCCAGGCUUAACCUGGGAACUGCAUCCGAUACUGGAUGGCUUGAAUCCGGGAGAGGGAUGCAGAAUUCCAGGUGUAGCGGUGAAAUGCGUAGAUAUCUGGAGGAACACCGGUGGCGAAGGCGGCAUCCUGGACCGGCAUUGACGCUGAGGCGCGAAAGCCAGGGGAGCAAACGGGG